rnacentral:rRNA from 1 species
GACGUAGGGCGCGAGCGUUGUCCGGAUUUAUUGGGCGUAAAGAGCUCGUAGGCGGUUUGUCGCGUCUGCUGUGAAAUCCCGAGGCUCAACCUCGGGCCUGCAGUGGGUACGGGCAAACUAGAGUGCGGUAGGGGAGAUUGGAAUUCCUGGUGUAGCGGUGGAAUGCGCAGAUAUCAGGAGGAACACCGAUGGCGAAGGCAGAUCUCUGGGCCGUAACUGACGCUGAGGAGCGAAAGCGUGGGGAGCGAACAGG